UGGGGAAUAUUGGACAAUGGGCGAAAGCCUGAUCCAGCCAUGCCGCGUGAGUGACGAAGGCCUUAGGGUUGUAAAGCUCUUUUGCCGGGGACGAUAAUGACGGUACCCGGAGAAUAAGUCCCGGCUAACUUCGUGCCAGCAGCCGCGGUAAUACGAAGGGGACUAGCGUUGUUCGGAAUUACUGGGCGUAAAGCGCACGUAGGCGGAAUUGUCAGUCAGAGGUGAAAUCCCGGGGCUCAACCUCGGAACUGCCUUUGAUACUGGCUGUCUCGAGGUCGAGAGAGGUUGGUGGAAUUCCUAGUGUAGAGGUGAAAUUCGUAGAUAUUAGGAAGAACACCAGUGGCGAAGGCGGCCAACUGGCUCGAUACUGACACUGAGGUGCGAAAGCGUGGGGAGCAAACAGGAUUAGAUACCCAUGUAGUCCCUGAGCGGGCUGGCAAGGCGCAU
rnacentral:rRNA from 1 species